AUUGAACGCUGGCGGCAGGCCUAACACAUGCACGUCGAGCGGAGCGGCGUACGGGUGAUUAAUGCCUAGGAAUCUUCCUGGUAGUGGGGGCUAACGUCCGGAAACGGGCGCUAAUACCGCAUACUAUCAGAUGAGCCUCGGUCGGUUUAGCUAGUUGGUGGGGUAAAGGCCUACCAGGGCGACGAGCCGUAACUGGGCUGAGAGGAUGAUCAGUCACACUGGAACGUAGACACGGUCCAGACUCCUACGGGAGGCAGCAGUGGGGAAGAUUGGACAAUGGGCGAAAGACUGAUCCAGACAGGCCGCGUGUGUGAAGAAGGUCUUCGGAUUGUAAAGCACUUUAAGUUGGGAGGCGUUACCAACAGAAUAAGCACCGGCUAACUUCGUGCCAGCAGCCGCGGUAAUAC
rnacentral:rRNA from 1 species